AGAAGAAGCACUUUGGGUCCCACUGUGUUAUAUGGCUUUUUAUUCCUAUGUGAUUAUACUACUCCUUUCAUAUAGGGAUUGAAGCCGUGCAAUACGCUGGGGAUGGGCAGCGGAAAACAUC
rnacentral:pre_miRNA from 14 species